rnacentral:lncRNA from 1 species
GCAGUUGCCGAAUCAGUACAAAGCCCAAGCUCACACGACUUGCAGAUUUAUGGAAUUGUUGUGACUAUACUUCUAUGCUUCAUUGUGUUUGGCGGCGUGAAGAUGAUCAAUCGGGUUGCACCUGCUUUCCUACUACCCGUGUUGCUCUCUAUCUUGUGCAUAUUCAUUGGGAUGUUUUUGGCAAAAACAGAUGAUCCUGACAGUAAGCCAUUUCAGGAUAUUGUUGGAUAUAGGCAUGGAGAUAUAUUUCCCCAAACUGUUAACCUUUCCAUUGUUAUGAUCUGAACAGCUGGAAUCACGGGCUUGCGAUUAAAAAGUUUUAGAGAUAACUGGAGUUCUGCUUAUCAGAUGACAAAUAAUGCGGGAAUUCCUGAUCCACUUGGAGGCACAUACUGGAGUUUCAAGUGAGUCACAUCUAGAAUUUUUGUUGCCUAUGAUAGUAAAACUCUAGUUUUUGUGUAAGUUUAUUUGUUACUCUGAAAUUUAUAUACCGUUCUCUUUGUUACUUUUCAGUGAGUUGGUGGGUCUAUUUUUCCCUGCUGUAACAGGAAUUAUGGCUGGUUCAAAUAGAUCAGCUUCACUGAAAGACACACAAAGAUCAAUUCCUGUUGGAACAUUGGCUGCCACUCUGUCAACCACCUUACUGUAUGUGAUCUCAGUGCUGUUUUUUGGAGCUGUUGCUACCCGUGACAAACUUUUGACUGAUAGGUAACGGUGUUACUCGUGUGACUUCUUUGUUUUUUUUUGGUUUCAAAGCCGAUCUAGUGUGUUUAGCAUGGAUAAACUUGAAAGAUAGUAAAAGUUGCUUUGUGCUCUGAAUGUACUAAACAAAACUACUAGGGGCCUACGAAAGGUGUACUUUCUUAGUCUAUAUGUCAAGAAUAAAUUAAGCAUUUCUGAUAGUGGUCGCAGAGACCUGUUCUUUUAGCGCUUCAACACCUUGAUUUUUUUUUAAAAUUUUCAUACGAGAGUAAUUUUCCUCUAUUGCAGGCUUCUUACUGCCACAGUUGCUUGGCCUCUCCCCCUCAUUGUUCACGUUGGCAUCAUCCUCUCAACCUUAGGGGCUGCUCUCCAGAGUCUGACAGGAGCCCCAAGGUUGCUUGCGGCUAUAGCAAAUGAUGAUAUUCUCCCCAUCCUGAAUUAUUUUAAAGUUGCGGAUACUAGCGAACCUCACAUAGCGACGCUUUUCACAGCAUUGAUCUGCAUCGGAUGUGUUGUUAUCGGAAAUCUAGAUCUUAUUACACCGACUGUGACUAUGUUUUAUCUUUUAUGCUACGCGGGAGUAAACUUGUCUUGUUUCCUGCUCGAUCUACUUGAUGCUCCAAGUUGGCGUCCACGGUGGAAAUACCAUCACUGGAGCCUUUCCUUUGUUGGAGCCUCACUUUGCAUAGGUAUGAAUAUUCAAAUACUUGUUGUUGAAGAUUGUCUUUUGUACAGUCUUCUUUUGUAGUCCAUUCCUAUAAAACAAAUUGUCUUGUCUUACCUGAAGAUUGAGAUGUCUUAUUAUUAUGAAGACUCUUUUUGAUGUUCCCUUUUUUUCUGUACGGUUGCAGUGAUCAUGUUCUUGAUUUCUUGGUCAUUCACUGUCGUUGCCAUUGCGCUUGCAAGUCUUAUAUACAAAUACGUUGGGCUAAAAGGAAAGGCCGGAGACUGGGGUGAUGGUUUCAAGAGUGCAUAUUUUCAGUUGGCCCUUCGUAGUCUCAGGUCACUCGGAGGUAAGGUUACAUAAUUACAUUCUCUAUGUGUUGUUACACCGAACCUGCCUUAUCUAAUAUGAGAUGGUCCAUUUAUCUAAGCUUUUCUCAUGCUUUGUCUUCUCUCCUAAUUGCAGCGAAUCAAGUGCACCCCAAGAACUGGUAUCCAAUCCCUCUUGUUUUCUGCAGACCAUGGGGACAGCUCCCAGAGAAUGUUCCGUGCCACCCUAAACUGGCUGAUUUCGCCAACUGUAUGAAGAAAAAAGGUCGUGGAAUGUCCAUCUUUGUCGACAUACUAGAUGGUGACUACUAUGAAUGUGCUGAAGAAGCAAAGGAAGCCUGCAACAAACUAGCCACCUACAUUGAGUAUAAGCGUUGUGAAGGUGUAGCUGAAAUAGUUGUAGCCCCAAACAUGACCGAAGGGUUCCGUGGGAUCAUCCAGACGAUGGGACUCGGGAAUCUCAAACCCAACAUCGUGGUAAUGCGUUACCCUGAGAUCUGGCGGCGAGAAAAUCUAACAGAGAUUCCAUCCACAUUCGUUGGGAUAAUCAACGACUGCAUAACAGCAAACAAAGCAGUUGUCAUCAUCAAAGGGUUAGACGAAUGGCCAAACGAGUACCAAAGACAGUACGGAACAAUCGACUUGUACUGGAUUGUGAGAGACGGUGGUCUCAUGCUUCUCCUCUCGCAGCUUCUUCUGACAAAAGAAAGCUUCGAAAGCUGCAAGAUCCAACUCUUCUGCAUAGCUGAAGAGGAUUCAGACGCGGAAGCAUUAAAAGCCGACGUGAAGAAGUUCCUCUACGACCUGAGAAUGCAAGCAGAAGUAAUCGUGGUGACGAUGAAAUCAUGGGACAUAAGAUCAGAAGGAAACAGCAAAGAAGAUUCGUUGGAAGCGUUUGAUGCUGCACAGAGACGAAUCUCAGAUUACUUGGGAGAGAUAAAGAGUCAAGGUUCGACUCCUCGGUUGGCGAAUGGGAAAGCGAUGGUGGUGAAUGAGCAACAAGUGGAUAAGUUUCUGUAUACAAUGCUGAAACUGAACUCGACCAUACUCAGUUACUCGAGAAUGGCAGCGGUGGUUCUGGUUAGUCUCCCGCCGCCUCCGUUGAACCACCCGGCGUAUUUCUACAUGGAGUAUAUGGAUUUGCUGGUGGAGAAUGUUCCAAGGAUGUUGAUCGUGAGAGGGUAUCACAGAGAUGUUGUAACUUUGUUUACUUAGUUUCAUAUCUUUUUUUGAUAAUAUCCACCAACAAAAUCAAAGACCCUGUCCUUCUUCAAGGCCAGCUUCUUCUUUUCCUCUUCCAACCUCUCCUCUUUAUAUAUUUUUUACAGUUUAUAUAUAAUUUUAACCUUGUAGUACAGAUAAUUCCAUUUUGUUGAAAAUGAUUGAAUUGGAUAUUCCUGUGAGCUUUAGUUUUUUCUUUCUCAAAUUUUGUUAUAGUUAGCUUCAUUUUAUUCUUUUGGUUAUGCACUUACACCCAUAGUUUCAUAUAUCAUAUAUGUAUAUGGUAAAACACAUCUCACUAGUUUUAUCAUUUUUCUCAUUCAAAAAGAAAUCUUCAACAUUACAGAAUCUAAGUUCAUACAUUGAUCAUUAUCCAGAAGUGAAACGAAUUUGCAAAUUAUUCCUCUUUCCCACCAUCAGUCGAAACUCGAAAGAAACUGGUUUGUUAGGCUAAGAUGAGCGCAACUAUAACUUGCUGUUACUUUGUUAAAAGACUAUGGGGGUAUUGUUUACUUUUCAAUCACUAGAGGCGUGAGAGUUAUUGUCUGUUGUCUGAAAAUACAUUUUUUUUAAUAAAAAUAUUGAAAACCGUAACUUCUGCAAGUCUCUCUCAUUCUUUGGAAAAUACUUUUCACCGACGUUUCUUUCCUUCUCCAUUCCUCGAUCGUCUUGGAGCUUCGUCUCAUCUUCACUUCCACUCUCUUCGUUUCUCAAACUGUUUCCACCCUCAGACUGCUCCAUCUCAUGAGAUGUAUGUUCAUCCACGGCCACUCCUCUGUCAUCACUUCUCUCAGGUGUUCUCCGGUUAGAAGAGGCAGGACGUACUGAUGUUGUUGUUGUCGCUGGUGGAUGAUACAUUGGCCUGCCUUGAUGUUGCACAACAAUCUGCUAAGUCACCAUGGCGUGUCUUAAUCUGUUUAAUUUUCAGGAUUGUUGGCAUGGCUGGUAUCGGACAAAGCCUGGUAUUGGUAUUGCUGUGUGGAUUAUGUACAUUUUUGACGACAAUAUCUUUGAGUGCUAUUGCGACAAAUGGCGCAAUGAAGGUAAUUAUUUUUCUGUAAUAUCACCCGGAAUUUUCUUUUACAAUAGUUAAAAUGUAUCCAUCCAUUCGUUGGGUUUCUGGUCCAUACUUAGCACCCCUAUUACUUCUCUCUUUCUUUUGUGAUAGAACAAUAUGUAGGACAUCAAGUUUAUUCCGUAAAUAACUCGCAUUACUUUACUUCCAGGGUGGAGGACCAUAUUACCUCAUUGGUCGUGCUCUUGGUCCGGAGGUUGGGAUUAGCAUAGGUUUAUGCUUCUUCCUUGGCAAUGCAGUUGCUGGAGCUCUGUAAGUGUAUAUUCUGGAUCCUUUGAAAUAGAUUCUCUUGGAGAAAGUCUUAAGCUCAACACUCUAAGUUGCUGGUGCUCUGUUCAGUUUCACAUGGUCUCCGAGUGCUUCUAAUGACUAAUUUAUCUGCUUUCUUCCUUAUCAAUGUAGGUACGUUUUGGGUGCUGUGGAGACUUUUUUAAAAGCGUUCCCUGCUGCUGGGAUUUUUAGAGGUAUUACUGUGGAACUUGUAAGAAUUGAAACCUGUGAAGUGUGAACCAAAGAAAAGGGGUACUAGGAUGUCCAACAACUCUUAGUAAUUCAUCAGUUUUUCGAUCACUACUUUAUUCAUGUUAGUCUUGACGUCAAAGACUUGUUUCAUCAAUUGUUGGAAAUGGCAACGCCUAUAUGCAAUCGAGGAUUUGCAAGAACUAUAUUAUUGACUGCCAAAAUCUGACAAAACCUUUACUUGUUUUCCUUGAGGACAAAAUCUUUAGCCUAUUAGUCACAUUUAGCCACUUAUAUGUGUUUCAUUUCUAAUGGCAGAAACUAUCACAAAGGUUAAUGGAACUGCAGUUGCCGAAUCAGUACAAAGCCCAAGCUCACACGACUUGCAGAUUUAUGGAAUUGUUGUGACUAUACUUCUAUGCUUCAUUGUGUUUGGCGGCGUGAAGAUGAUCAAUCGGGUUGCACCUGCUUUCCUACUACCCGUGUUGCUCUCUAUCUUGUGCAUAUUCAUUGGGAUGUUUUUGGCAAAAACAGAUGAUCCUGACA